AUUGAACGCUGGCGGCAGGCCUAACACAUGCAAGACGAGCGGAGCGGUGGACGGGUGAGUCAUGCAUAGGAAUCUGCCUGGUAGUGGGGGAUAACGUCCGGAAACGGGCGCUAAUACCGCAUACUAUCAGAUGAGCCUAGGUGGGAUUAGCUAGAUGGAGGGGUAAAGGCCUACCAAGGCGACGAUCCGUAACUAGUCUGAAAGGAUGAUCAGUCACACGGGAACUGAGACACGGGCCAGACUCCGACGGGAGGCAGCAGUGGGGAAUAUUGGACAAUGGGCGAAAGCCUGAUGCAGCCAUGACGCGUGUGUGAGGAAGGUCUUCGGAUUGUAAAGCACUGUAAGUUGGGAGGCGUUACCAACAGAAUAAGCACCAGCUAACUUCGUGCCAGCAGCCCCGGUGAUAC
rnacentral:rRNA from 1 species